GAUGAACGCUGGCGGCGUGCUUAACACAUGCAAGUCGAACGAUGAACCGGGUGCUUGCACUCGGGGAUUAGUGGCGAACGGGUGAGUAACACGUGAGCAACCUGCCCCUGACUCUGGGAUAAGCGCUGGAAACGGCGUCUAAUACUGGAUAUGUCCCGUCACCGCAUGGUGUGCGGGUGGAAAGAUUUUUCGGUUGGGGAUGGGCUCGCGGCCCAUCAGCUUGUUGGUGAGGUAAUGGCUCACCAAGGCGACGACGGGUAGCCGGCCUGAGAGGGUGACCGGCCACACUGGGACUGAGACACGGCCCAGACUCCUACGGGAGGCAGCAGUGGGGAAUAUUGCACAAUGGGCGCAAGCCUGAUGCAGCAACGCCGCGUGAGGGGUGACGGCCUUCGGGUUGUAAACCUCUUUUAGCAGGGAAGAAGCGAAAGUGACGGUACCUGCAGAAAAAGCACCGGCUAACUACGUGCCAGCCGCCGCCGUAA
rnacentral:rRNA from 1 species